rnacentral:hammerhead_ribozyme from 1 species
AACUGGUCAAGAGUUGAUGCCACUCUCCUAAUGAGGCUAUGGCAAGCCAAAACCAGUU